rnacentral:lncRNA from 1 species
CGUACUUGCAAGCCAUGAAUACACUGAAAUGUAAAUAAUGGUCUCAACUGCCAAACUGCAUAAAAAUUGAUUCCCAAGGAUCAAAAGUCUUUCAUUAGUCACUGCUAUAGUAAUAUGAUAACAAUCUGCCUAGAUUCAUAGUCAUUGACAAAUAUAUAUAUUUUGAGGUCAAGAAAAUUUUUGACCUUGAUAUUUUGCACGUUUGAGAAGUUGACCCCAAUUAAAUAAAAAACGUUUGACAAAUUGAACAUUUAAGUAUUUCUAGAACAAUAUCUUUACUUUUGACAAGAAAUAGCCAUGGGCAUUAGGCAGGCAAUCAUAAGGGUAAUUGGGUAGUUUUGGCAUUUUCAUUCUUCAUAUCUUCGUUCUCAUUUUUUAUAACCAUUGCCACCACCACCGCCACCAGAGAAGAAAACGACGGCAAUAACGGCCAUUAGGCUGUCUUGUUUUGCAAUUCUAUGGUGCAUCUGCAGUUUUAAUCCCUUCCAGUUAUACAAACUUGUUUACAUUCAUGGUGAAUAGAGAAAUAAGAUUUACACAGCUUUGGUUAUUCAGUCAUUUACAGGGCAUUCAACAUUAAGAUAAUCAGUUGCAUAUUAGGAAUUUAAGAAUUGAGCCAGAACUCUAAUGGAGGGUAUCGAUUAUCACUGUUUCUCUCUCUCAAUCAUCCAUGAGCUUGUUAGAUAUUAGAAGUUGAGAGUUUCGUUGAAAGAUUAAUUUGGCCUGCCAAAGUUAAUGGGUGGAUUUUAGCAGAUUAACUAAUGAAUCGGACCUAUUACCGACCAAGUAUGCUCAUUGAACUCUUCUUGUGAUAUUCUACUCAUAUAUAUAGCAAUCCAUGAAGAAACAGAAUCAAACAUCAUAUAUCAUUGAAUAACCAUUAAUUAGUGAAUUCCAAGUAAUGGUAUUUCUCUCAAGCAUUUCAUCAAACACACAUUAUGCAUAAUCCAUUCCACUAAAAUUUGCAUAAGUUGAUGAAUUUAUUACCUGGGAACGCCUCAAUUUGAAUACCCAAUUUGACUAAGAACCUAUGGACCGACACAUCAUUAGAUCUUCAGAAAUCAUUUCCGUGUAUGAGGUAUAAUUUCCAAGCACGCCAUUUUCAAAUAUGGACUCUGUCCAAGUCCAGCAUUUGGAAAUUAAACAACCUUGUAAACCUGAAAAACAAGCGACUGCCACAGUGCAUUCUGUUAGGAAUCCUGUUAUGAGGAGGAAUCGUCUUUUUUUUGUAAGAAUAUUAUUUUGGAAAUAGUCUUACUAUUUGUAGUAUGUAUAUUUAUUGUGUGAGAUUGUCCUAAUUAGAUUAGGAAAAGAGAAAUUGUGGGUAC